AGCCUCAUUCUAGAUGGAAACGGGCACUGUUGUUCACGGGGUCCAGAAACUGUUAACAUGACUACACUGAGAGAGACACAGCUUUUGCUUCAAAUCACAGUAAUCUUACUGCAGUGCUGAUAAUAUGACCUGUGAUAUGU
rnacentral:snoRNA from 1 species